AGGAGGAACAACCGCAGUGGCGGUGGCCCUCUCUGGAGCCCUGGUUUCAGCUCCCGCAGUAACUACAGAGCUCUCAUUCUGCAAGGCCUGGAUGCUCCGGGGGCUG
rnacentral:pre_miRNA from 1 species